rnacentral:lncRNA from 1 species
GAUUAGCAGAGGAGUAAGAGAUUGGUGCUGCAGGGCCUGAAUGUGCAAGAAGCUGGAUUUACUGUGCUAUGACAGGAAUACAUGGGACACAGUGCAAUGCUCAUGAUAACUCCAUCUAUGUAAUUGCCAAGAGGCAAGAAGGCCAGGAACCUUGGGAAGAACUCAGUGGAACCUGGGACCAUGGUGCAGCAUCCUGAUGGGAGCCAUAGACCCCAAGCAUCUCAGGCUAUGGAGAAUGUAGCAGCGAUGGUAAGCUCAGCACUCUCUACUCCAGCCACAUCAAGAAGCUUCAUAGCUAGACUCAGCAAAUCUGUACAGAAUCCGGUGGAAUAGCCUGAAAGAGUAACACAGUAGGAUAAUAACUGUCAUUACUCUUUACCACAGCCUCCUGAAAAAGCUCUCUGAAGAUGGACUGUGCUUUUUGUUCAUUGAGUUUUCAGAAUGAGUAACUUUGGCAUGCACUGAAUAUAUGACUCAUUUUCUACCUCCUUUUAGUAUAUUUUCACUUCUAUUUGAAACAGCUUCCCACUAAUAUGCCAGGCUGACACUGAACUUGCUCUGUAACCCAGACAGCCUUUGAACUUGUGAUCCUCUUGCGUCAAACUCCUGAAUAGCUACAAUUACAGGCAGGAACACACUGAUCUGGCUUCUUAAAUCAUGUCUAGUGGAUUGGGUUAAGUAAUUAAUUAAGGGAAAAUAUAAAAAUGAAUAAAAUGUGAAGGUAAUAGUGUAAGAUGUGAUUAUAUCAAUUAAUCAAUGCUUUUAAAGCAAACACAAUAACUAUAAAUGGGACUUAAAUUAGCAGUUAAAAUACAGAGAAUUUCAAAAUGAGCCAACACAAAUUAUUAACUCUAUGUAUUAAUGAAUUAUAUGAGCUAAUUAGGAAUGUGGAACAACUUUAGGAAAUAUGUGAAGAUUUAAUAUACAAUGCUAGUCAAAAUAAAGUAUAACUGUAUUACAACAACAAAUAUUAUGGUUAAAAUAUUCUUGUACAUAUCAUUACACUUUAAUUAUUUUUAAAUGUACCAAUUCAUAAAUUGGUUUAAAAUAGAACUUGUAUAAAUCCAGCAAUAAUUUUAAAACACAAACAAAAAUAAAAUUUGACAGAUCCACAUUUAUUCUCGGAUAUAUAAAUACAUUCCUACUAUGAAUUUAUUUCUUAAUCAGAGAAAUAACAAAAGAAAACAAACAAAGAAACAAAGAAACAAAGACAAAGUAGGACAAGAAAAAUUUGAGUUUUCUAUUUACCUAGCUAAUUCUAUGACAUGAAAACUCUAUUAAGAAAAAAAUAGACAUAUGGACAUCAUUACAUUAAAGGUAUUCUAUAAUUUUCUGUAAUUCUAUGAAAUCAAGACCAGAUUUCUGACAGAUUUGAAAGUUUUAAUACACAUUGUAAAAUAUAUCAUGGUAAUGUGAAAAAUCAAAACAAAAUUGUAGCACAUUCAGAAAUAAAGAAUGCUGCUGAAGUCAUAUAGAAAUAAAAGGCCGAAACUUAAUGUCAUAUGAUGAAAGAGGAAAGGGAGAAAGACCAUGUAAGCUUUUCUCUAACACUGGAAGUUGGUGAACACAUACCAGAAUGAGUUCAAAGCAAAUCAGAAGACAAUCAUAAAAAACUAAUUAAAAGUAUGAAAGGUAAGAGAAUGCUAGGUAAAGAAUAAUCAGCUAAAGAAUAAGUUUCUCCUACAUCCCCCAUGCCUGCAUUUUGUGUAGGCAGGAUAAAUUUUGGGUCAAACAUUUUUUUGGGGGUGGGUUGUUGUCUCCUUCGCUCUUCUGGAGUUCCUACCUGGCUAUAGGAGGUGGCAUCUUCUGGUUUUGUAUCGCCAAUGCUAUGAGUCACAACUAAGGUCACCCCCAUUGAUUUUUGGGCACCUCCCUUAAAUUUAUCCUGUCAAUAAGAAAUGCAGGGAGAGGGGAUGGAGCAGAGACUGAGGGAAUGGUCAAGUAAUAACCAGCCCAACUUGAGAUCCAUCCCAUGGGCAAGAUCCAAUCCCUGACACUAUUAAUGAUACUCUGUUAUGCUUGCAGACAGGAGCCUGGGAUGGCUGUCCUCUGAGAGGUUCCACCCAGCAGCUGCCUCAGAUGAAUAUAGACACUCACAGUCAAACACUGGAUGGAGCUUGGGGAUUCUUAUGGAAGAACAGGAAAAAGCAUUGAGACACUAGGAACUCUACAGGAAGACCAAAAGAGUCAAUUAACCUGGAUCCUUGGCGCUCUCAAAGACUGACCCACCCAACAAAAUCCAUGUCUUUAAUACUGUGCCUUGCCUAACUGGAAUACGACUCAAGCUUCAGUCCAUUGUCGUCUCCUUUUACCAUCGAUAAGCAUGCUCACGUCUCGGUUUCUUUAUCCUAAAGUUUGGCAUAACAAAAUUCUAUCUGAAAUUAUGAAAUACAUUAUAUGGGAUCAAGUACUCAAAGAUAAAGUCUUAUUCAGUAGAUGAAAGAACGCCUAGAGGUGAAAACUGCUCUCCAGGUAUUGCCCUGACAACAGAUCAAGGAAACAGUUUCACCCAAGUCUAGUGUGAUAAGCCAAUAAGGCUGUUGAGGUUACUCCGAAGAACAUGGGUGACCCAGAGGCAGCUGAAUCACUGAAGAGCCCACCCCAACAUGGGUGAUGGCUCAAGGGAGCUACAUCUUGGAUCCCCACACAGCUUCAUAGAAUUCUACAAAAAUGUCUUUUCUCUCCUAGCAACUGUAUUCUACUUACAUAACUUAAAGGACAGACUUCCUGAGUCCUGUAACACUUUGAGCUUCCCAAGUCUCACAAAUGCUCUUAGUUUCCAUGCUGCUAGGGGCCGCUCUUCUUCCUCCCAGGAAGAAAUACUUAUUCAAGGGAAGCACCUACAACGGAGCAUAUAGGCUCAGCUUCCCAUUAACUCCAUGGAAUGGCAAUAGGAAUAACUAAAUGAUGACUGCAAGCUAUUUUGUAAUUACAAACUGCUAAAUAAUAAAGGUUGGCUAAUUAUC